AAAUGCUCUUUAACUCACAAGUUCGGCUCACCUGGCUCGACAGCUCCGCGAAAACGAAUCAAGAAAAGUCAGUCUGUCGGUAACGGACGACGUCAAGGACAAAAACGGAGAAAGAAUGCCGACAUAUGAAUUAGCGCCUCCCAAGAGAGAUCCCAUCGAGGAGACGAGGAGAAUAACCGAGGAGUGAGGCAGGAGGAGGGGAAAAUGUUUGAAGAAACGAGAAGAUCGUUCCUCGGUGACGUUAUUUCACGAGGACAACUACCGUAGCAGCCAGGCCAAGCGACGUGCCUACGUGGCGGCCAUGUUGGGAAGGUCGACGACCCCAUCACAGUUACAAAACGCGGGCUUCAAAAUCCCCCGCGUGUCGAAUGUGUUACUAAAGGUUCUCAGUGGGAAGACGACAAGGCGAGUACCUGUAGAGAACACUGUUGAGAGAGUACGACUCGCCGUUGAAGGAGUUGGCGACGACCAGGAAAUAUUCCUCCCCGAGGCUGAAGAACUCCCAGUCCACCGCGCUGCCGGGAGAAGAGCAUUUAUGGACUUUUUUCAAAAUAAUAUAACACUUCCUUUGUGGUCUUACUUGGUUUCUGGCUGGAUUAAAGACUGAUGGGCUGUAUGUGUUUUAAUAGUUUUAAAAAUACAAACAGCUCGUUUAAGUGGAUUUUUCAGGUAUCGACUUGAGUAAUUAUUUUUCUGACCACUUUUUACUUUUACUCCCUACAUUUGAAAACAUAUCUGUAUUUUCUACUCCUUACUGAGUCAAAACGGAGGAAGGUGAUAUUCCCCAUCCGGGGCCUGAUCAAAGAGAAACGUUUAAAAUUGUUUGAUGCUUGUCGGCUCCAAGCAUGACUCGUGGUGAACGCGUUAUGUCUCGUCUUUUUUAACACAAAUAUCUGUACUUCUACUUAAGUGUGAGUACUUUUGCCACUUUUGAUCAUACCUGUAUGUGACGAUGUCCUGGAAGCGGACAAACAGCCGCUCGGUCAUGUCCAACUCGUAGACGGUGGAGUUGAUGGCGUAUUCGCCGGGCCCGUUGCCGUGGAGCCGGUGUCCAUUGGCGACCACCAGAAAGACCCGUGUGCCGAUCUGGAACAUCUCCCAGUCGGUGGCGCAAAAAGUCUGCGUUAAAGACAAAAGAAAGAAGUUUCAGGACGUGUAUAGACAAAUGUGUAAUUAAGUGAGCUGUCUCAACCGGAUCCUAGUCGACACACCGCUGGAGGAGUAGGAAAAAAAAGCAAAGAGGCCCAGUUAAUGGGAGACUAUUAUUUUGAAUCGUGGUGGGCUUGUAAAUUAGCCAGGUAAUUUGCGGUUGUGUCGGCUUAUACGCGAGUGAAGCAAACACGCAUGUCAUUAAAAAAAAAAAAAAGUCCCUCUGGCUUUUUCAAAUGAAUUCUGUACAAUAGAACCUCCUUAUUGCAUGAUGAUGCUUUUUACCUCAUCGUUUGCCUUUUGAGGCAGAAAUAUUUCCCCAGCGUUUGUCUUUGGAUUUCCCGCAUUAGUCUCUAAUCAGCGACACAAUUGUUCCUUUCCCAAAUCUUCUCGCUCGGUAUGUUUGUAAACUAUAGGCGCCGGGGUAUUUCGGGGUAGAUGAAAGUGAGCGACGACUGCUGAUUUGAACUGAAAACAAAGACAAAACCUUGUUUUGCUUGGGGUUGGCCCGAAAUAACAAAAUGAUCAUUUAAUGUACAUACUCGUUUUCUCAUGGAAAGGUUUGUUAACCAGGGGCGCAAUUGAAGAGCGCUUGAGUUUUUACCACCCGGCAGUAUGAAGAAGGUGUAUGGAAAGAUAAUAAUACAACCAUCUCAAAACAGUUGUGAAAGAGUAAAGUGUAUGUCGAAGCGUUCUGGGUGAGUUGAGGUGAUUAAUUAAACUACCCUGGGGGUGCUUUCUGGCUAAUCCUCACAUCCAACUGUGGAAUUCCCCUAAAUCACACUCUUCUCCUUAUGGACCUAUCAAUGUGUCAACACACGUUUCACCGCAAGUGCGGUUACAGUCCAAAUGUGACACUCGCUGUCGGCUACAGACCGCGUGCUCUAUUUUUGGCAGCGAAGACACGCCUGAUGCGUUUCUCUCCGUCCCUGUCAUUACCUCGUUUUCGUCUCACCGUGUUUGUGUUUGUUCCCCGCAUCUGAGUGCAACGACGGGACUGUUUUACUUUGUUUCAGCCUGCCAUCGCAUAAAUCUCAGCAGAAGAAAUUAAGUCUGGUUCAUCGGACUACGUGAUACGGCCUUGAAAUGUAUUUUUCCCCCCCCCCCCCACAAAAAUCCAAUUUGUGAUUUCAAUAAAAAAAAAAAAUAUUCUUAUUUGCUUUAUUUAUCCUUUGAAAUUCCCAUCAAGUUUUUUUUUCCUAGCACCAACUUUCACAUAAAUAUUUUUUCCUUUACAUGUAAUGUGAACAUAAGUUCUUUGUCAUGGAAAAAUGGCCCUUUUACCCCAAAAAAUGUGCGUAAACACAAGCCGCCGUAAAUGUAUAUGUCAAAUGUUCAACAAUUUAAAAGUAGCUCUGUCACUUGGCAUCAUUUGCAUAAUUCUGUUGCCUAUCAGUAUUACUGCACACGUUAUAUUGCCUCAUUGUACACUGUACAAUACAUUACAUUGUAUAUUUCCUGCUAUUUAAAUUGUCCGUUUUGAUCUCUGGGUUGCAUUUCUUUAUGUAUAAAAUUUGAUUGACUCUCCGUACUUUGUAUAUUUGUGUAUAUGUCCUAUAGGUACAUUUUGUCAAAGUGUCUUUU